ACAGUCAGAAGAUGUGAUGAAAGUUAGAAAUGGUGGCAAAAGUGAUGCCAUUAAUAAGAGAUCAACAUGGGUGCCUGCUGCAGGGGUCAUAAAUGCGACUCCGAAAGCAAAAGCACUGGCCAAAAGUAAAAAGGUUG
rnacentral:rRNA from 1 species